rnacentral:lncRNA from 1 species
UGGAUAAGACGCUUAGGAGACACUUUAGUACUAAGCGAUAUGAAUGGAAGUUUUCUCAUAUAACACAGGAUGGGAGUUUAACUGGAAUGUAUAUUUUCCUACAGAAUCAUGUGCUCUAAAGUUACAGAAAUGCCUCAGAAAUGUAUCUAGUCAUCUAGAGCUUAAACCUUUUGGUGAGAGGUCUAGAAGCUUAAGAUACAUGAACUGAAUCUUAAUGUGAAACAUAAAAUCAUUAAUCACGAAAGAAGGACAACCUAAUGAGAACAAAUUCUGGGCUCUAUGUCUACUUCCCCAACUACUAAAUAUUUACAUACCUUUUGUAUUAAAUUGUUAUGAAGUAUUUUCACGAAACUGAACAUUUCCAGGAUCUGAUUUAUGUAUAAGUUUUCAAUCCAGCACUCCCAACACCUGAAGAGCUCUUCAAAGCUGUCUUCAGAGUUCCAUAUUUCCAGAAUAAAUUGCUUUGGUCCAAGUAAAUUUAUGUCAGCACAACUACAUGUCUACUUGUAUUCAAACACAAUGCCCCUUGAUCAAAUCAAAUUGACAAUAAACUUCACGAUCCAAUCAAAUGAUUAUGAGGGUCAAAAUUGCAGAAAUUUUGCAAUGAUAUUAGAAACCACUAAAUACAUAAAAGUAUGACAUUAAGUUUAAUAAAGAAAAAAUUUCAUGCAUCUAAAACCAAAUAAGUUUUCACAGCUUACUCUAUUAAGAUUUUGAUGUUGGUACAGUUAUCGAAAAUGCAAUUACCAAUUCAUAUAUAUGAACUUACAUGUCCUGGUCAUUUGAACUCUAAAAUAUGCAGUGUAGCAUAUUCGUGACGCAGAUGGACAUCGGUAUAAUACACAAUAUGGGUUACUCAAAAGAACAAAAGUAGAAAGCUAUAAAAAUAGUUUAAAACAAUUCCUAGGAUGAAAACAAAUAUGUGGAAGACAAUAGUAGAUAUUUCUAGGCUUUGAUAUGAUGACAAUAUAAUUGGAAGUAAUUUCACUUAAAUGGUCGACUGCAUCAUAAUUUUAGUAGAAUUGGCAAUCAAAAUGCAAAAGCUAGAGGAAAGACUUAAACCUUAAUCAUGAGGUUAGAAAGUCAGAGAUUGACAAAAUGAGCUACUCUAGCUAAUUAUGUACAUUAAUACAUUAUGCUAUAUGUCAAUGCUACUUGUAGGAAAAUAAGGAUGCUGGAGGAAGGGCUUGAACCUUCGACCUUGUGGUUUAAAACCACACGCUCUAACCAAUUGAGCUACACCAGCUAAUUAUGCACAACAUCCUAAAUGCAAAUAUUUUCUAAAAAUUACAUGAUCUUGUAUUCCCAUUUAGAUCAUCCCAUUCAUAAUAAAAAGUAAUAUCUGCUAGAGUGUCUUGCGUUCAACAAAAGAAAAUGCGAAACAACAUAGUACCACACGUAUAGAAAAGAAGAUUACGUAAACAAAAUAACACAAUGAUUAAAUCAAAAUUUUAGAAAUCACAGUGGUCAAAACUUACAAUUAACGAAACCAAGACUUAUAGUGCCUGAGGCAGUAAAGGUAGGUUCCCACACUUAAUCAUAUUGUCAACACCACCAAAUAUAGAAUGCGCUAGCUUUACACAAAACUUGGACCGACAUCCUAUAUUCAAUUUUUUAUUGUUCACCUCAUU